rnacentral:rRNA from 1 species
CCUACGGGGGGCAGCAGUGGGGAAUAUUGGACAAUGGGGGGAACCCUGAUCCAGCCAUGCCGCGUGUGUGAAGAAGGCCCUCGGGUUGUAAAGCACUUUCAGUGAGGAAGAACGCCUGGUGGUUAAUACCCAUCAGGAAAGACAUCACUCACAGAAGAAGCACCGGCUAACUCCGUGCCAGCAGCCGCGGUAAUACGGAGGGUGCGAGCGUUAAUCGGAAUUACUGGGCGUAAAGCGCGCGUAGGUGGCUUGAUAAGCCGGUUGUGAAAGCCCCGGGCUCAACCUGGGAACGGCAUCCGGAACUGUCACGCUAGAGUGCAGGAGAGGAAGGUAGAAUUCCCGGUGUAGCGGUGAAAUGCGUAGAGAUCGGGAGGAAUACCAGUGGCGAAGGCGGCCUUCUGGACUGACACUGACACUGAGGUGCGAAAGCGUGGGUAGCAAACAGGAUUAGAUACCCCGGUAGUC